GUAACUACCCUCCAGAAACUUCCUGUUCCUUACAAACUGAAUAUCCAGUCUUGCUACAGACCAGAAGUGACAAAUUGUUGAGAAAUGGCAGCCAGGCAUCAUGCCUGAAAUCCCAGAACUCAAAAGUUUGAGGGAGAUCUUAAGUUUAAGGCAAACCUGAGCCACAUGGUAAGCUUGAAGUUAGCCUGGCCUUCAAAAGUAGAUCCUGUCACAAAAGAAAUAAUAG
rnacentral:lncRNA from 1 species